UACGAAGGGGGCUAGCGUUGCUCGGAAUCACUGGGCGUAAAGCGCACGUAGGCGGCUUCUUAAGUCAGGGGUGAAAUCCUGGAGCUCAACUCCAGAACUGCCUUUGAUACUGAGGAGCUUGAGUCCGGGAGAGGUGAGUGGAACUGCGAGUGUAGAGGUGAAAUUCGUAGAUAUUCGCAAGAACACCAGUGGCGAAGGCGGCUCACUGGCCCGGUACUGACGCUGAGGUACGAAAGCGUGGGGAGCAAACAGG
rnacentral:rRNA from 1 species